rnacentral:rRNA from 1 species
CANUGGGANUGAGACACGGCCCAGACUCNUACGGGAGGCAGCAGUGGGGAAUCUUGCGCAAUGGGCGAAAGCCUGACGCAGCAACGCCGCGUGGGGGACGAAUGCCUUCGGGUUGUAAACCCCUUUCAGCAGGGACGAACAUGACGGUACCUGCAGAAGAAGCCCCGGCCAANUACGUGCCAGCAGCCGCGGUAAUACGUAGGGGGCGAGCGUUGUCCGGAUUUAUUGGGCGUAAAGAGCUCGUAGGCGGUUUGGCAAGUUGGGUGUGAAAACUCCGAGCUCAACUCGGAGACGCCACUCGAUACUGCCAUGACUCGAGUCCGGUAGGGGAGUGCGGAAUUCCUGGUGUAGCGGUGAAAUGCGCAGAUGUCAGGAGGAACACCAGUGGCGAAGGCGGCACUUCUGGGCCG